rfam:Pelecanus crispus contig21503, whole genome shotgun sequence.
GGUCCUGUAGCUCAGUGGUUAGAGCACUGGUCUCGUAAACCAGGGGUCGUGAGUUCAAGCCUCACCAGGGCCU